UAAUAGUGUAUAUUAAAGUUGUUGCAGUUAAAAAGCUCGUAGUUGAAUGUUGGUGUCGAACGAGCGGUCAGCUUCGGCUGUACUGCUCUCUCGACUCCUUCCUUCUGUGGACUACGUCGCACUUUACUGUGUGGCGCUAGGACGCAGAUCGUUUACUGUGAAAAAAUUAGAGUGUUCAAAGCAGGCCGUACGCUUGAAUACAUUAGCAUGGAAUAAUGGAAUAGGACGUCGGGCCUAUUUUGUUGGUUCUAGGACCGUCGUAAUGAUUAAUAGGGACGGUUGGGGCCGUUUAUAUUCCGUAGUCAGAGGUGAAAUUCUUGGAUUUACGGAAGAUAAACUACUGCGAAAGCAUUCGGCAAGGAUGUUUUCGUUAA
rnacentral:rRNA from 1 species